GUUUUGUAUGGUACGGAUGACACGAAUGAAAAUUUAAGUAUUGAUGGGUGUCUGUGGAUUUAUAAUAAAUAUCCGUUGUUAUAUGUCUGCCUGAUUUUAAGAUGAGGAUAUCCAAAAAUGGUAGUUGUGUGUCACUGGUUUCCAUGGUGAAUUUAAUCGACGGAUGUAAGGAGUUGAUAAGAUCUUUAAAUUUAUAUAAAUCCUUUUCUGAUCUGCUCCAAAAUAUUAUACAGUCAUCUAAAUAUCUUUUCCAAAAUUUAAUGACAUAAUCACAGAAAUUUUGAUCGAAUUGGACAGAUAUUUGUCGAUACAUCUGUUGCUCUAAGUAUCCCAUCACUAAAUUUGCG
rnacentral:lncRNA from 1 species